GCCCCUGGUACCAUUAGCUCAGACAGUAGAGCAUGAGACUCUUAAUCUCACAGUCAUGGGUUUGAGCCCCCUGUUGGGCA